rnacentral:other from 1 species
AUUAGUUUCAAUAUUCCUAGCAUUAUUAUGAAAUAAUAAAUGAUCAAACCCACAAAAUAUUGCUGUGUGUAGUCUUUGCCUGUCAGCCCAUGACAGGCUUUUUCUAUU